UAGGGAAUAUUGCAAAAUGGGCGAAAGCCCGAUGCAGCAACGCCGCGUGCACGAUGAAGGCCUUCGGGUCGUAAAGUGCUUUUAGAGAGGAUGAGGAAGGACAGUACUUUCUGAAUAAGCCUCGGCUAACUACGUGCCAGCAGCCGCGGUAAAACGUAGGAGGCUAGCGUUAUCCGGAUUUACUGGGCGUAAAGCGCAUGCAGGUGGUUUUGUAAGUUGGAUGUGAAAGCUCCUGGCUUAACUGGGAGAGGUCGUUCAAAACUACAAGACUUGAGAUUGGUAGAGGAAAAUGGAAUUCCGGGUGUAGUGGUGAAAUGCGUAGAUAUCCGGAGGAACACCAGUGGCGAAAGCGGUUUUCUGGACCAAUUCUGACACUCAGAUGCGAAAGCUAAGGUAGCAAACG
rnacentral:rRNA from 1 species